rnacentral:rRNA from 1 species
CCAGACUGCCCUGAACUUGCCUGAUGUUGUCUGAGCUCAGAAGCUAAACAGGGUUGGGCCUGGUUAAUACUCUGAUGAAAGAAAGAAUAUCCCAGGAGGAAAAGUGGC